rnacentral:lncRNA from 1 species
UUCUAUUUUCAGGCCGAGAUAGACUGUAACUAUGUGUUUUCGAUGGAAAACACAUGACUAAAGUCAGUCUCUAAUUCAAAACAUCAUGGAACUGGCCCGUCUAAUUUCAUGCUUCAAUCUAAAAUCCAAACAGUUCUACGGUUAUUCGAAGGGAGCUGAUUAAGGAUUCAUGGUGAGGGUGAUCGGGUGGUGAUAUGGUGUUAAUUUGGGAAUCAUUGGGCAGAUUAGGGUUUUUGACUUAACUUCGCAUGAAGAUUCAAAAACGACAGUUGUGAUUUGAUGGAAGCUGUUAUGGGGAUUGGGAUAGGG